UACGAAGGGGGCUAGCGUUGCUCGGAAUCACUGGGCGUAAAGCGCACGUAGGCGGCUUCUUAAGUCAGGGGUGAAAUCCUGGAGCUCAACUCCAGAACUGCCUUUGAUACUGGGAGGCUCGAGUCCGGGAGAGGUGAGUGGAACCGCGAGUGUAGAGGUGAAAUUCGUAGAUAUUCGCAAGAACACCAGUGGCGAAGGCGGCUCACUGGCCCGGUACUGACGCUGAGGUGCGAAAGCGUGGGGAGCAAACGGG
rnacentral:rRNA from 1 species